rnacentral:rRNA from 1 species
GCCUCAGUAACGGCGAGUGAAGCGGCAACAGCUCAAAUUUGAAAUCUGGCUUCGGCCCGAGUUGUAAUUUGUAGAGGAUGCUUCGGCUUACGUACCGGUCUAAGUUCCUUGGAACAGGACGUCACAGAGGGUGAGAAUCCCGUUUGUGGCCGGCACUUCCGCCAUGUGAAGCUCCUUCGACGAGUCGAGUUGUUUGGGAAUGCAGCUCUAAAUGGGAGGUAAAUUUCUUCUAAAGCUAAAUACCGGCCAGAGACCGAUAGCGCACAAGUAGAGUGAUCGAAAGAUGAAAAGCACUUUGGAAAGAGAGUUAAAAAGUACGUGAAAUUGUUGAAAGGGAAGCGCUUGCGACCAGACUUGCCCGCGGAUGCUCAACCGGUCCUUCGGCCGGUGCACUCUUCCGCGGUCAGGCCAGCAUCAGUUCGGGCGGUCGGAUAAAGGCCUUGGGAAUGUGGCUCUCUUCGGGGAGUGUUAUAGCCCUUGGUGCAAUACGGCCCGCCUGGACUGAGGCCCGCGCUUCGGCUAGGAUGCUGGCGUAAUGGUCGUAAGCGGCCCGUCUUGAAACACGGACCAAGGAGUCUAACAUCUAUGCGAGUGUUUGGGUGUCAAACCCGUGCGCGAAAUGAAAGUGAACGGAGGUGGGAACCUUAGGGUGCACCAUCGACCGAUCCUGAUGUCUUCGGAUGGAUUUGAGUAAGAGCAUAGCUGUUGGGACCCGAAAGAUGGUGAACUAUGCCUGAAUAGGGUGAAGCCAGAGGAAACUCUGGUGGAGGCUCGCAGCGGUUCUGACGUGCAAAUCGAUCGUCAAAUUUGGGUAUAGGGGCGAAAGACUAAUCGAACCAU